AGCGACCCACGGCGGCAGAUCCGACGGAGAUCGUCCCCGGGGAAGUGGGCUGGGACAAGGGAAUUGGCUCCCACGAGGCCGAGGAUCAGAGCAGGCUCUGCACAGGGGACAACUUCCACUUCUGAAUGGGGAAGGGCACCUUUGUCCCCACCCCCAGCAAACUGGGACGGAGUAACAUCUGCCUGCAGCUGGCUGGAGUUCCCGUUGGCUCUGGGCUUUCUGUCCACGGGCCGGGGAUCAUGGCCAGAGUCCUUCAAACCUGGGGAACAGUGGCCUUCACACCAUCCCUGCAGCCUGUCCAGGGCAGGCUGCUGCCCUUCGGCCCCUGAUCACAGGUGGAUGUAGAAGUGAUGGUGUUUAGGGAAUGUUGAUUGUAUUUCCCUGACUUUAGCAACGUGGUCAUUAAAAAGAGAAAAAUAACAAGUCUGUGGAAAUCCCCUGCACGUGGGAGCUUGCAGGCUCUGGAUUAAA